rnacentral:rRNA from 2 species
UACGUAGGUGGCGAGCGUUGUCCGGAAUGACUGGGCGUAAAGGGAGCGUAGGUGGCGAUUUAAGUUAGAUGUGAAAGCCCGUGGCUCAACCACGGAACUGCAUUUAAAACUGGAUUGCUAGAGUACAGGAGGGGUAAGCGGAAUUUCUAGUGUAGCGGUGGAAUGCUUAGAUAUUAGGAAGAACACCAGAGGCGAAGGCGGCUUACUGGACUGCAACUGACACUGAGGCUCGAAAGCGUGGGGAGCAAACAGG